CCUACGGGAGGCAGCAGUGAGGAAUAUUGGUCAAUGGACGCAAGUCUGAACCAGCCAUGCCGCGUGCGGGAUGACUUCCCUAUGAGUUGUAAACUGCUUUUAUAAGGGAAUAAAAGCAGGCACGUGUGCCUGUUUGCAAGUACUUUAUGAAUAAGGAUCGGCUAACUCCGUGCCAGCAGCCGCGGUAAUACGGAGGAUUCGAGCGUUAUCCGGAUUUAUUGGGUUUAAAGGGUGCGUAGGUGGUUGAAUAAGUUAGCGGUGAAAGCUCGUGGCUCAACUAUAGAAUUGCCGUUGAUACUGGUUGGCUUGAGUAUAUUUGCGGUAGGCGGAAUGUGUGGUGUAGCGGUGAAAUGCAUAGAUAUCACGCAGAACUCCGAUUGCGAAGGCAGCUUACUAAGCUACAACUGACACUGAAGCACGAAAGCGUGGGGAUCAAACAGGAUUAGAUACCCUAGUAGUC
rnacentral:rRNA from 1 species